rnacentral:rRNA from 1 species
AAACUAAAGAGUUUGAUCCUGGCUCAGAGUGAACGUCAGCGGCGUGGAUUAGGCAUGCAAGUCGAACGAGAACGGUUCCUUCGGGGACCUAGUAAAGUGGCGGAAGGGUGAGUAAUACGUAGACAACCUGCCCACGAGACGGGAAUAACCCUCCUAACGGGGGGCUAAUACCCGAUAUGUUCGCGAGGUCGCAUGGCCUUGCGAGAAAAGAUAGCCUCUGCAUGCAAGCUUUCGCUUGUGGAGGGGUCUACGGCCUAUCAGCUAGUUGGUGGGGUAACGGCCUACCAAGGCUAUAACGGGUAUCCGGCCUGAGAGGGUGGUCGGGCACACUGGGACUGAGACACUGCCCAGACUCCUACGGGAGGCUGCAGUCGAGAAUCUUCCGCAAUGGGCGAAAGCCUGACGGAGCGACGCCGCGUGGAGGAUGAAGGCCUUCGGGUUGUAAACUUCUGUCACACGUUAAGAAUAGCGGGAGGUGAAUAGCCUGCCCGUCUGACAAAGGCGUGAGAGGAAGCGCCGGCUAAUUCCGUGCCAGCAGCCGCGGUAAUACGGAAGGCGCGAACGUUGUUCGGAAUCACUGGGCAUAAAGAGCUCGUAGGCGGUUCGUUAAGUCCGGAGUGAAAUCCCUCGGCUCAACCGAGGAACUGCUUCGGAAACUGGCGGGCUAGAGGGCAGGAGGGGAGAGUGGAAUUCCUGGUGGAGCGGUGAAAUGCGUAGAUAUCAGGAGGAACGCCGGCGGCGAAAGCGACUCUCUGGUCUGUUCCUGACGCUGAGGAGCGAAAGCUAGGGCAGCAAACAGGAUUAGAUACCCUGGUAGUCCUAGCCGUAAACGAUGGGCACUACGUAG